GUGGGGAAUAUUGGACAAUGGGGGGAACCCUGAUCCAGCCAUGCCGCGUGUGUGAAGAAGGCCUUUUGGUUGUAAAGCACUUUAAGCGAGGAGGAGGCUACCGAGAUUAAUACUCUUGGAUAGUGGACGUUACUCGCAGAAUAAGCACCGGCUAACUCUGUGCCAGCAGCCGCGGUAAUACAGAGGGUGCAAGCGUUAAUCGGAUUUACUGGGCGUACAGCGCGCGUUGGUGGCCAAUUAAGUCAAAUGUGAAAUCCCCGAGCUUAACUUGGGAAUUGCAUUCGAUACUGGUUGUCUAGAGUAUGGGAGAGGAUGGUAGAAUUCCAGGUGUAGCGGUGAAAUGCGUAGAGAUCUGGAGGAAUACCGAUGGCGAAGGCAGCCAUCUGGCCUAAUACUGACACUGAGGUGCGAAAGCAUGGGGAGCAAACAGGAUUAGAAACCCUAGUAGUCC
rnacentral:rRNA from 1 species